GUUACCUACGGGGCGCAGCAGUGGGGAAUAUUGCACAAUGGGCGAAAGCCUGAUGCAGCAACGCCGCGCGAAGGCAGAAGGGUUUCGGCUCGUAAACUUCUAUCAACAGGGACGAAAGAAAUGACGGUACCUGAAUAAGAAGCCCCGGCUAACUACGUGCCAGCAGCCGCGGUAAUACGUAGGGGGCAAGCGUUAUCCGGAAUUACUGGGUGUAAAGGGUGAGUAGGCGGCAUGGUAAGCCAGAUGUGAAAGCCUUGGGCUUAACCCGAGGAUUGCAUUUGAAACUAUCAAGCUAGAGUAAAGGG
rnacentral:rRNA from 1 species